UUAUCUCUGUAGAGUCUGCAUAUCAAUAAGCGGAGGAAAAGAAACUAACUAAGGAUUCCCUCAGUAACGGCGAGUGAAGCGGGAAGAGCUCAAAUUUGAAAUCUUCAAGGUUCUACCUUGACGAAUUGUAGUUUAAAGAAGUGUUUUCUGUUAGAUGAGUAGCAAAAGUUCCUUGGAAUGGGACAUCAUAGAGGGUGAGAAUCCCGUAUUUGGUUAUUCAUUCUAGCUUUGUGAUACACUUUCAAAGAGUCGGAUUGUUUGGGAAUGCAGUCCAAAAUGGGUGGUAAAUUUCAUCUAAAGCUAAAUAUUGGCGAGAGACCGAUAGCGAAACAAGUAUCGUGAGGGAAAGAUGAAAAGAACUUUGAAAAGAGAGUUAAACAGUACGUGAAAUUGUCAAAAGGGAAGCGUUUGACACCAGUGUUGUUUUUCCGAAAAUCAAUUACGAAUGGCUUGAUUCUGUGUUGUAUUGACCUUAUCAGCUUUCUGCACUUUUUUUCGAGUCUUUCUUAACUGCACUUUUCGGUUAACAAGUCAACAUCAAUUUCUUUUGUUGUAAAAGAGUAUUCGGAAGGUGGCUUUCUUUUCGGAGAAAGUGUUUAUAGCCCUAUACUUCUACAAUCGGAGAGAUUGAGGUCUGCAGCGUAGAUCCUUCGGGGUUAGAUACACUUUGUGCUAAGUUGUAGCUUUUCAUAGACAACUUGUUGACUAUGUUUAGUCAUGCGGCCUACUCGCUUAGUGCUAUUUUACCUACGCUUAGGAUGUUGAAGAUGUAGCACAUCAU
rnacentral:rRNA from 1 species